GAACAAUGUUUCAUAUGAAGCAAAUGUCUUUCAGUUCCUGGUGGCAUUUCUGACAGCUUCUGGAAGAGGAGUUCUGCUUGGCAGAUUCCUGGAGUGUCUUCUACAUGCUUCAACCUGUUCUCUCCCAGGACCUCCCAUUACCCCUUCUUUCCUCCUAUCAAGGAAGAUGUCUCAAAGGAUCCCACAAGGUGGAAAGCAGAAGCAGUCUGAAAAGUGUGGCAGGGAUGUGCCUGCGAAUAUCUACUAGUCUGAGACUUGUCACCUCUCCAGGAGGGAGAAGGAAAGAGAAUGAGGCAUGUUUGAGUGUGGUGCACUUCAGGUCUGGGUUCACAUUGAGCCACCUGAGAGGAGCUGGGAAAGUGCUGUUUCUCAUCAUUUCCACCCAGCAAGAGAAUUGGAGAGAAAGAGCUACACCCAAGCCAAUUAUGGCAGGGUCCUUGGGGGCUGUUAUGUAAUCUUCCAGAGACAGUGGAAUGGAGUGGGCCUUGAGUUCCAGUGGGCACACUGGCUGAAGUCUUUUCUGUACUCCAGGUCUUGGGCCAUCUGUGGUGGAGCAAGCUCCCUCAAUGCUGGAGAAAGUCCUUUGGCAGAGAAGAAGCUUACAGCAUGCUGGGACCUGCCUGCUGCACCUGUGGGGGGAUUUAGACUUGUUUUCCAGGACUUGUGUUCUGCAUUCUCCCAUGUGCCUUGGGUACCAGCCCUGACAUCACUGGACUGCACCAUCCAUGCUGAGAAUUCUAUACCUUUGCUCUUGCUGUUCUUCAAGCCCAGAAAGCCCCUCCCCAGCUGGCCUCCUUGGUGGAUGGUUUGA
rnacentral:lncRNA from 1 species